GACACAUUGAGUAUCAUUAUUUCACUCUGUAAUAGCAAUGACUCCAUGCUGGUAAACUAACUCCAACCCAUACUCUUCUAGAAGUGAUCGUGUCAUGGUCCGAGUGAAGCAGCAAAAGCGAAGGACGGGGGGGAGUAACUGUUGCGGCUUUAUUUGGCCGGGUUAAAUAUUAUACCCGGACUAAACAAAACCCAACAAAUAUGCAUUCCUGAAACCAGGCUACAUGGCAGUAUCCUCUCUACGUCGACACCUGUCCAGACUACGUGUUAAAGAAUUACAUGCAAAAUUGUACUAUAAGAAGGGAGCAAGAUUAACGGACAAGGGGGGGAGAAAUAUUGAAACACCUAUCGACAGGCGUAUUCCAUGGCACUAGUUUUAGUUUUUUCAAAAUCGGUUCACAACGGCGGAGAUACUAUGAUGAUGUUGUAUAUGAUGGGCUUUUCUCUCUCCAUCUUGUCCAUGGCGAUCUUCGUGUGUGGAAAAUUCAAGAAAAAAAUGAAACAUGGUAGCCAUGGUGCUGGUUAUUAUGGCGAUGGUGGUGAUGGAGGAGGUGGCGACGGAGGUGGUGGUGGUGGCAAUGGAGGAGGUGGUGGUGGCAACUGAGGAGGCUAUAGGAGAGGGUCGUUAAUGCUUAACUAUAGUAUAAUUAAUUAUAUAGGAACCGCUUUUGGUGUGGUUGGGUGCGCCGGCGAGAACUUCACUACCAAGGCGCUCCUCUGGACGUCGCCACACCUCCGAACAGUCACUAGGCGGUCGCGAACAUCGCCAUCCGACGGUCCGCCGCACCUGAAACCCAGUGUAAUUAUAUAUAAAAUAAGAAUUGUUAUUUUCUAUUUUGUGAAUGAUUGGUUUGAGAUAAGAUUGAUCAAUAUAUACGCAAAUACACUACAAGAAAAUAAACUUUUAACGACGGAUUUUGGCAUUCAUGUCUAAAUUUUCACAUAUCUCUUGAAAUCAUUCUUUCGAAAACCCACAAAAAUCAUAAAUUCCCAAUCCUGUUUGUCUAAUUUUUGUUUAUAUGGUCUUAACAUUAUAUUUUUUAUUUAAAUAUUUUUUUUCGGGUUGGUAGAUCUCUUAUGAUUCACACUAAUUCACAUUGACAAGCCUAAAUCAGACCGAAUCCGCCUGGAUCCUAUCCAAAUUCACACUAAGGGUGGCACAUUACCUUGCAUCUGCGCAAAAGCACGCACUGCAUAUGCGCAUCCGAAACUUUGAUUAUAUGUAAUUAGUUAUAGACAUGAACAUGCAAUUAGUUAUAGACCUGAACAUGCAAUUAGUUGUGGACCUGAACAUGCAAAUAGUUAUAUACUUGAACAUAUAAUUAAUUGUACACAUGAUUAUGUAAUUAGUUAUAACCUGAACAUAUCUUAGUUAUACAUCUGGACAUGGGAUGGAUUCUUGACAAAAAAGAAAAUUGUCGGAAAAUAUAACGGUCGGAGAAGAAAAUAUCAAAAAAUAAAAUGUCAGAUACAACCGAGAUUCAGAAACUUCGACGAUGCAAAAAGAGAAAAGACAAACACAAAGAGAAAACGUGAAAACUCGAUCAAAGAAGAUUAAGAUUCGAUCGACGAGAAAGUAAACUGGAAGUUGAGAGUGAUAAGUGUGAAAUGAUGAAAGAGUGAGAAGAUGUGGUUAAAUAUUGGUUAUUAAGACUGAAGAUUCAGAAUUUCCUUUCAAUCGACUGGUAAAUCUCCUGUAUUAAUUCAGAUGAUCGAUCGGUUGCCCACCGACCAACCAGAUGAUCGAUCAAUCUGAGCUCAAACUAGCUAGACAUUUAUCCAAUCAUAUACAAAAUAGAAAAUAACAAGUCUAAUUUUAUUUAUAUAAUUAUACUAUAGUUAAGAAUUAACUACCACCACCACCGUUGCCACCACCACCUCCUCCGUCACAACCACCACCAUCGCCACCAAAGAAGUCACCAAAACAACCAUAAUGGACGCCAGGACUACUAACGUGACGAUCAUGUUUCUUUUUUUUCUUGGACUUCCCGCACACGAAGAUCGCCAUGGACAAGAUGGAGAGGGAGAAACCCACCAUAUACAACAUCAUCAUGGUAUCUCUGUCGCUGUGAAUCGAAUUUGAGAAAACUCGCGCCAUGGAAUAUGACCAAUCGGGUUUCCUCUAAAG
rnacentral:lncRNA from 1 species